GGGGGUGUAGCUCAGUGGUAGGGCACAUGCUUUGCUGUGUGAGGCCCCGGGUUCGAUCCCCGGCACCUCCA
rnacentral:tRNA from 1 species